CUACGGGAUGCACCAGUGAGGAAUAUUGCACAAUGGGGGAAACCCUGAUGCAGCAACGCCGCGUGGAGGAUGACGCAUUUCGGUGUGUAAACUCCUUUUAUAUGUCAAGAAAAUGACGGUAGCAUAUGAAUAAGCACCGGCUAACUCCGUGCCAGCAGCCGCGGUAAUACGGAGGGUGCAAGCGUUACUCGGAAUCACUGGGCGUAAAGGACGCGUAGGCUGGUUGGUAAGUCAGGUGUGAAAUCCUACAGCUUAACUGUAGAACUGCACUUGAAACUACCAACCUAGAGUAUGGGAGGGGGAGAUGGAAUUAGUGGUGUAGGGGUAAAAUCCGUAGAUAUCACUAGGAAUACCGAAAGCGAAGGCGAUCUCCUGGAACAUAACUGACGCUAAGGCGUGAAAGCGUGGGGAGCAAACAGGAUUAGAUACCCCCGUAGUC
rnacentral:rRNA from 1 species